rnacentral:rRNA from 1 species
GAUGAACGCUGGCGGCGUGCCUAAUACGUGCAAGUCGAGCGAACGGACGAGAAGCUUGCUUCUCUGAUGUUAGCGGCGGACGGGUGAGUAACACGUGGAUAACCUACCUAUAAGACUGGGAUAACUUCGGGAAACCGGAGCUAAUACCGGAUAAUAUUUUGAACCGCAUGGUUCAAAAGUGAAAGACGGUCUUGCUGUCACUUAUAGAUGGAUCCGCGCUGCAUUAGCUAGUUGGUAAGGUAACGGCUUACCAAGGCAACGAUGCAUAGCCGACCUGAGAGGGUGAUCGGCCACACUGGAACUGAGACACGGUCCAGACUCCUACGGGAGGCAGCAGUAGGGAAUCUUCCGCAAUGGGCGAAAGCCUGACGGAGCAACGCCGCGUGAGUGAUGAAGGUCUUCGGAUCGUAAAACUCUGUUAUUAGGGAAGAACAUAUGUGUAAGUAACUGUGCACAUCUUGACGGUACCUAAUCAGAAAGCCACGGCUAACUACGUGCCAGCAGCCGCGGUAAUACGUAGGUGGCAAGCGUUAUCCGGAAUUAUUGGGCGUAAAGCGCGCGUAGGCGGUUUUUUAAGUCUGAUGUGAAAGCCCACGGCUCAACCGUGGAGGGUCAUUGGAAACUGGAAAACUUGAGUGCAGAAGAGGAAAGUGGAAUUCCAUGUGUAGCGGUGAAAUGCGCAGAGAUAUGGAGGAACACCAGUGGCGAAGGCGACUUUCUGGUCUGUAACUGACGCUGAUGUGCGAAAGCGUGGGGAUCAAACAGGAUUAGAUACCCUGGUAGUCCACGCCGUAAACGAUGAGUGCUAAGUGUUAGGGGGUUUCCGCCCCUUAGUGCUGCAGCUAACGCAUUAAGCACUCCGCCUGGGGAGUACGACCGCAAGGUUGAAACUCAAAGGAAUUGACGGGGACCCGCACAAGCGGUGGAGCAUGUGGUUUAAUUCGAAGCAACGCGAAGAACCUUACCAAAUCUUGACAUCCUUUGACAACUCUAGAGAUAGAGCCUUCCCCUUCGGGGGACAAAGUGACAGGUGGUGCAUGGUUGUCGUCAGCUCGUGUCGUGAGAUGUUGGGUUAAGUCCCGCAACGAGCGCAACCCUUAAGCUUAGUUGCCAUCAUUAAGUUGGGCACUCUAAGUUGACUGCCGGUGACAAACCGGAGGAAGGUGGAGAUGACGUCAAAUCAUCAUGCCCCUUAUGAUUUGGGCUACACACGUGCUACAAUGGACAAUACAAAGGGCAGCGAAACCGCGAGGUCAAGCAAAUCCCAUAAAGUUGUUCUCAGUUCGGAUUGUAGUCUGCAACUCGACUACAUGAAGCUGGAAUCGCUAGUAAUCGUAGAUCAGCAUGCUACGGUGAAUACGUUCCCGGGUCU